UACGUAGGGUGCGAGCGUUGUCCGGAUUUAUUGGGCGUAAAGAGCGUGUAGGCGGCUAGGUAGGUCCGUUGUGAAAACUCGAGGCUCAACCUCGAGACGCCGGUGGAAACCAUCUAGCUAGAGUCCGGAAGAGGAGAGUGGAAUUCCUGGUGUAGCGGUGAAAUGCGCAGAUAUCAGGAAGAACACCCGUGGCGAAGGCGGCUCUCUGGUACGUGACUGACGCUGAGACGCGAAAGCGUGGGGAGCGAACAGG
rnacentral:rRNA from 1 species